AGGAACAACCUUAGAAAUAUCAGUCCCAUACUUUCCAUGCAGAUCUUUUUCUGCAAUAAACACGCUUUUUAUUUCCUUCUUUUGACAUCACCAAAGAGAUGUGUAUUUGCAUUUCAAUACUAGAUUUGAUGGGAAAUCACCUGGAUCCCACUUUACCUGGCUGCGCUUAAAAGUGCUUUAUGCUUUGAACUAUAAGAACAGAUAACACCAUGAAGAGAAGAAAUCUCUGUUAAAAGAUGAAAAAUGUACUUUAUCUCUUUGCAUUUCCACCAAGUUUUUGAAGCUCACAGGCUGCAAGCUAGGCCUGCAUCUGAGUGUAGGCAGUAUUGUUUGUAUCUGCUUUUCAAAGGAAAUAUUGCUGAGCAAAUCUUUACGUGGGUUUUAUUCCACUGAGAUGCACUGGAGAAAAUGAGAAACUGAAAUGGGGCUACAUUUAAGCAGGACUGGCCAUUUCUCACAUCUAUGGGACUAGGAGAGCAGAGUGAAUGACGCCAAGGCUGAAACACUUGCAAAUGUCUUCACUGCUGCUAAUUUCAUUCUGUACUUGAUGGAAAAGAAUGUUCUUCCUUUGUUCAAUGUUUUUGUGCCAGAAAUUGAAAAGUGCAAUGACCUAAUUAUUUCUUUAUUGUACCAGCAUGUCUUCAAGUGACUGAUGUUUCAUACUGAUGGAAGAUUAUUGUUGCUAACUAUGUUGCUAUAGUGUGCACACACUCUUUCACUUCAAUUAGAAAGUGUUAUUUUCAAUAAAAAAACGUUGUUUUGUGCUGUGACUUGCA
rnacentral:lncRNA from 1 species